rnacentral:rRNA from 1 species
AUUGAACGCUGGCGGCAGGCCUAACACAUGCAAGUCGAACGGUAACAGGAAGCAGCUUGCUGCUUUGCUGUCGAGUGGCGGACGGGUGAGUAAUGUCUGGGAAACUGCCUGAUGGAGGGGGAUAACUACUGGAAACGGUAGCUAAUACCGCAUAACGUCGCAAGAGCAAAGAGGGGGAGCUUCGGGCCUCUUGCCAUCGGAUGUGCCCAGAUGGGAUUAGCUAGUAGGUGGGGUAACGGCUCACCUAGGCGACGAUCCCUAGCUGGUCUGAGAGGAUGACCAGCCACACUGGAACUGAGACACGGUCCAGACUCCUACGGGAGGCAGCAGUGGGGAAUAUUGCACAAUGGGCGCAAGCCUGAUGCAGCCAUGCCGCGUGUAUGAAGAAGGCCUUCGGGUUGUAAAGUACUUUCAGCGGGGAGGAAGGGAGUAAAGUUAAUACCUUUGCUCAUUGACGUUACCCGCAGAAGAAGCACCGGCUAACUCCGUG